rnacentral:lncRNA from 1 species
CGAGGGCAGGCGGCUAGGGUUUUUGUGGUCAGGUGUGGGGGUUCUAUUUAUACCCUUUUGCCUUUUGAUCACAGUCGUCCAUUUUGAUUAAAUCUGGGCCGUCCAUGCGCGAUUAAAUCUGGGCUGUCCGUGCACACGCUUAAUCUGGGCCGUCCGUGCGCGCGGGGAUGCAUCUGGGCCGUCCGAUCGCGCGCACGUGGAUCGCCCACGUGGCCCGUUCCUGGGUCGACGUGGUCUUGCCACGCGGCAGGUCCUGGUUGGUCAGGGCUGCUGACUGGGCCGCUGACGUGGCUGCUGACGUGGCACUGACGGGGCACAAUUUUUCUAAAUUGCGUUUUGACCCCCGGUUUCCGAUUUUCUUUUCAAAAAUACCCCCAGAAUCCUUAUUUUC